rnacentral:rRNA from 1 species
UACAGAGGGUGCAAGCGUUGUUCGGAAUUAUUGGGCGUAAAGCGCGUGUAGGCGGCUUUGCAAGUCUUGUGUGAAAUCCCUCGGCUUAACCGAGGAAGUGCGCAGGAAACUGCAGAGCUUGAGUACCGGAGAGGAUGGUGGAAUUCCCCAAGUAGAGGUGAAAUUCGUAGAUAUGGGGAGGAACACCGGUGGCGAAGGCGACCAUCUGGACGGAUACUGACGCUGAGACGCGAAAGCGUGGGGAGCAAACAGG